rnacentral:rRNA from 1 species
AUGUAUUGUGGUGCUCCACCUCCUUUUCUCUUCUUGCCAGUUCAUAUACUCUGCAUGGGAAGUUGCCUACUUGGUAUGAGCUUCAGUAGCAUCGGCAUCCGCUACACCUUCCUAUGUUCUUUUGUUAAUAGUUUGUCCAUAAUUAUAACAACGAAAUGCAUGAAUGUAUAUAGCUUUGCACCAAGACACUUUACUUUAUCUAUGAUCUGUCAUUUUUGUGAGUCGCAGAUGAUUUUGGCAUUGAUAUUCUCAUGCAAGCCAUCCUAUCUUUGCAAGCCUAAAGAUAGAAUACACUCAGGGCACCGCAUGUUUAAGUUGUCACUCCUAUGUUUAUAA